rnacentral:sRNA from 1 species
UCUUUGGGUAGUGGUUUGGUCCCUGGGAGCUCCAGUUGGUUGGUAUUAUUGUUGGAAAUCAUGUUUUUAAUUAUCUUUCGCAAAAUGUACUCAGAAGUCAUUUGGAAGCCCAAGAUAUUAUCCAUAGCUGUUUUAUAGCUCUGGAACUUCCAUGCAGAGAAAUAAGCUGUCGUCUGUACUGUGGGGACAGAGGGAAGUGUGUGGCCCCAGAUAUAAGCACCACAUUUCAAGUCCCAUGAGGAAUUAUAUAUGCUGAUGUGUGAUACGGUCUGCUUUGUCUGUUAACAAAACUGCAUUCCACUUGUGCAGCUGAAGGAUGGCAGAUGAUUCUCUCUGGAAAGACCAGAGGGUUCCAGUCAUGAUUUCCAAUCCUGUCCUAUAGCAGACAGCAUAGUUACACAUGAUACAGUCUGCGUGUACACUCUGAAAUAUCAUGUAAAUGGUCGCAUUUUCUAUUCCUACUUGUAUUUACUUUAGUUUGGGGAUUUGAAGGCUUCACGCUUUGCCUCCUGCAUUCUAUCUCUCUUCUGCUCAUCUUUGUGUCUCUCUUCAAUGGAAGAGACCCACUCAAGGUAUACAACCCAGUGGAUUAACUACACAGUUUCUAGAAACCCAAGUAGAUUAUUUUUUUUUGUUGCCUUUUGUAGUGAAGUUAUACAUCUCAUUUGGCCUUCAUAAUUAUCUUAGAGUGUUUCUGCUGCUGUCCCCAUUUGACAAUGAGAACACCGAGGUCUAGGGAGGUCAAGUUCCCAAUCUUAAAGACGGGACAUCUGAAGUCAGAUGUCCUCCGUUUUUCAUUAUCGCAUGCCUGAGUGUUUAAUUAUCCCACUUGACAUCUACUCCUGAAAGCAGAGUUGAAAGUUAAGUUGCACCUCUUUUUAGAAAACCGAGCUAUGCUCUUUCCUCUCCAAAGAGUGAGCUGGAAAAUGGUGGUGUCAUCCAUACCACUGUUGCCAGAUCUCUGUGCAUUCUUAAGUCUGAGGCUCCCAAACAAAUCGGGUGUCUAGGGUACAGCUGGGAAGAUAGGAUGUGACGUUACUCACAGCAUGCGCUAAGAGAAGAUGAGAACCAGCAUGUUGCAGGUUUACUGAAAGCUUCACUUCUGUGUCCCAACUCAAGUGGCCCAGAUGGGGCACUCUGGGCAGGCGGCCUCGGUCUCGUCCUCUCUGAGCAGUGGCUUUGGGUAGAGGGGCUUUUAACUUCUACAUAUGAACCAGCAAGACCUGGAAAAAUCCACGUUCUGAAGCGCCUCAGACCUGUCUGCAAAGUCUGUUUAUUUAGAGAGAACUGUCUACGUGAGGGGUGUUUAGUCAGGCUGUUAUCUGCUCAUGUCACAGACAUUUGGCACAAGGAGACACUUCUGUACACCCACAGCGUGGUAUCCCACACUUACCUGGCUUAUUGUCUUAAAUCUGUGGUCCGUUUUCAAAUGUAAGCAGAAAUGCUGGUCUAAGGAGCCACAUAUUCAAAUAUAUCACUAUCCUUCGUGAAAAAUGAAACCAGGGCAUACACUGAAACCUAGCACAGUGUGUCUGCUGACUCGGUACCAGAAAACCUGUAUGGACACCGAUGGCUGCCUGAAGGUUGCUUAUUUAAGGUAACUAUCAAUCCUUAUUUUUCCCCAUAGCAAAAAUAAAACAAAACAAGACAAAGCAUGACUUCCUAUGUAAAAAUUAAGGAAGGACCCUUCCUUCUGGCAUCCCAGUAGGACAGGGGUGUAAGGACUGAGCCUGAGCCGUGGCCUGCCCUGCUGGGAGGGUCUGAUCUCCAGCUGGAUAGAUUAGUAUAAAAUGCAAUCCACUGGCCAGUGGAUACCGACUCAUAUUUUGAUGCAGGACCAUUCUUAAAGUUGCACCUUUACUGAAGGAAAGCAAAGUAUUUAAAUAAAAUGACUAAAUGUCAAAGGAAACUAUUGUUCGUGUACUAGUUCAUUCCCCUGGAGAGACUAAGACAGCAGUUGAACAUUAUGUGUUUAGCGGGAAUCAUGUUUUGAGUGCUAAGGCUAGAACUAGUGCUGUUGAACAUGCCAGGCAAGAACAUCAAUACUGAGAUACACUGUCUAGGACAUUUUUGAUCCAUUUUCUACGUCAAUAAAGAAACCCACCAUCUAUUUCAGAACUUUUUCACAUUCAUCCUAAAAGAACAGUAGUGAAAGUGAAAGUAAAAGAAUUUUAAGUCAUACCAACAUACUGAGUUGUUCCUGUGCACCACAUACGUGUUGUGAGGAUUUACACAUGUUGGAACUGGAGAGAUAGUGCAGCAGGAAAUUGAAGCUGAGAGACCACGUGGCUUCUUCAGAACCCCAUAAUGUCCUAAGCCCUGUGUAAAUAUCCUCCCACCCUGCUUACUCCAUCCACAUUUAAACUUUAAAGGAGAAAUUAGGAACAUUCCAUGUAUCCAGUGUCUAUUGUAAGGGAACUUAUUUCUCUAUAACAUGUAACACCAGUCUUGGGCAAAUAUCUUAGCAUGCCUUAGAAAAACCCAUAACAAAAACCUACAUGUUGAGCUAGCUGUUUCCAGCAAGCAGUUUACUAGGUCAUCAGUUACUUGUCCCUGUGUGACUUGAGGGAAGCCUCUGUCUCUCCACGUCAUUGUUGACUUCAAGGAAGACAGGGCCAGCAUUGUUACGCCAGAUAGGCUUGGCAAGGAAGGUGUGGCUGUCGAUUGAUCGCAUUCCUGCGUUUAAAUCCUCGGAAGCAGUUUGUUUCUGCAGUCCUGUACUUGUUUGCUUAUUUUAUCUCUUUAUCUUGAACAGAAGAGCUAGGGGAGACUUGACAUCUUAGGAGAAAAUUGUCAUUAAAGAAAGAGCCAUCAUAGUGUUUGUAAACAGCCCAGGGAGUCUAUUUGUAAAAGUAGCUUUAAGUCAAUUAAAAAAAGAAAAGGAAAGGAAAUAGUCUCCAUUAUUUAAAGAGGCAAUGAAAUGUAUGUUAGCAGGAUUGCUGUUUGAAAUGGAGACAUCUUUUUUUCACCGAGAUCUGAGACCAGUGAGUUGCUUUCCACACCAGUCAUGCCUCUGGUUCAUCCAUUCAUCUGAGGGUGAAGUCCGUUCUUGUUAAGUGUGGGAAUGAACCCAGGCCUGAGGGAGCACGCCCUCAACCCAAAGCACAGGUAUUUUAAACAGUCCGGCCAGCCAGAAAGCUGCGAUUGGAAGCCACACUCAGCACAAAGCUCGCUGCCUCCAGAGCCAGUGAGUCAUGCCAUGGCCCUGACUUCAUGCUCUGUGCCUAUGCACAUUUCAUUGUGUGACACACUGUAGGCUCCUUGCCUUCCUCUGCCUCCUGUCUUCAGUUCCCUACCCACAGUGGCCCUGCGGAAUUCUGGAUGCACCACAGGGUAUGUUGAUUGGGAAAAUACCAAACAGUUGCCUCUGACUAGCUCCAUUAUUAGACAUCAGAGAGCAAUGAUAUUUGCACUUGGGGUAAAGAUUUGCGUCCUGAGCUCCCCACCUCCAGGGUAGGGAAUAUGGAUCACAAAAGUGAUUUACAAAUCUGCUGAAAUUCUUAACUUGGGGGCGGCACACUAGAAGCAAAAGACAAAGCCAAGGAAUCCAGAGUGUGUUUCUCACUCUGCUGUCUAUGUGGCUUUUCCCAGCUUUACUGAAGAUCCUCCAUAUUUUCCAGUAAGUGCAAUAAUAAAUAAAAUCUGGAUGUUAGAUGAGCUGUAUCUAAAAUCUACUUGUCAAAGAUCACUUUGCCCAGCUGAUCAGUUACACUACACACUAUCAAUCAGAGGUCUCUACUGCAGUAAUCGAUAUUUCCUCUCUGCACUUUACUUUUGCUUUCUCUAAUUCGAGAUGGAUUUCUGUCACUUAGAAAGGAGCUGGAGAGCAGCAGUGACAUGCGCACUUGCCGUCUAUCACUCAGGAGGUUAAUGCACAAUGAUCUCGAGUUUUGGACAACUUGAGCUGUCUCAGAAAUAAAAAUGAAAAACAGCAGAAAGAAGCAAAAGGAAUGGAGGAAUGGGUAAAUGCCCUCUGUUACUCUUGGAUUCCAUGAGGAAUGGUCUCCAUGUUCAAGAUGGUGCCCAGGCGCUUCGCAGUAUGGGGAAAUCCAUGCUUGACUGUGUAGCCCCUUUUCUUGUGUCUACCCCAUUCAUUCCUACCAAUAUCUGUGGGUUCUUGGGAAAUACUGUAUUUUUAAUUUUGUUUUUCUAUUUUUAAAUUACUCAUUAGACACCUUGAAUCAUUUGUUGCAGAUAACUAUCUGCAAUAUUUUAAAAACAAGUUUAAAAACAAUUCUCAUUAGCUAAGUCUGAGGAAUGUCAGCUGUUUAUUAUCCAUGUAAGCAGAUGAGGAGGAGGACUGGCUAUCACUCAAGACUUGCAGUUUGCAUGUUUGCUUGUUUGUUUGUGAGACAGGGUCUCACUUAGUAGCCAUGGCGUGGCUGUGGGAUUAAAGAAGUGCAUAAUUCUUACCAUUUAUAAAGAAAAGAAUAUUUCAAUGCUAAAAAUUGAGCAGCAUUUACUCCUCAGAACAAGCGAUUGGCCUUUAAUAAAAAUAUAUUUAGGGGAAAAGUGAGUGUGUGGUGUGGGGGUUGGGGGUUGAGACAAAUGUCUCAUGUGUCCUAGGCUGCCCUGAAACACUGUAAUAUAACCUGCAGCUUCUGACUUUCUGCUUCCAACUCUUGAGUGGUGGGAUGCAAGUCUUGUACCCUGGUUUGUGAGGUCCUGGGGAUUGAACUGUAGGGACUCUCGGAUGCGAGCUCAGCAGUCGGGCGAGCCACUUCCUCAGUGUAAUUGCUGUGUUCUUGUUUUUAAAUAUUCUCCUGGCAUCAGAGCCACCCGAAAGCCACAGCAAUCUUGGUCACUCUUCCCUGGUUCAGCCGAUAGUGGUCAGCUGCCUAACGAAGGCUAGGGGUUGAGUCAGAGCUGGGCUUCUCUCUCUCCAUUUGUCAUCGAGAGCUAUGCGGCUUUGGAGCAGUCACUUAGCCUUUCUCAAUGUUCCUUUUUCCUCAUCAGUGAUAUUAGUUCAAUAAGACUUCGCCUACAUUGUCAUUGUUAAAGCGCCUAUCAUGCUAAGUGAUGGAUAGAAUUUGUCAAAUGCAAGUACCACACUUAAUACCUGGCAGAACAUAGAAUCCCAUAAACAAGUUGGAACUAAGAAUAGCAUUUGGGGCUGGGGACUGGAAAGAUAGCUCACUGUCUGCUCCCCUAGAGGAUCUGGGUUCAGUGUCUUCCCAGAACCCACAUGGCAACUCACAGCUCGAGUUCUAGGAGACCCAUCACACCGACCAGACAUGCAUAUGGUACAUAUAUCUGUUCAUGAGGCAAAAUAAGUACCUAUAUACAUUCAUCCAGUCAAUCAAUCAAUCAAUCAAUCAAUCUUUUCUAAUAGUUGCUUUGGGUCAGAUAAAGCUUCAGCGUCCUGACCUAAUUACAUAAAUUCUCCGGGGGAGAGACAGAUGCUAGGUGCAUUUCCCAUGACUGGUAGAAGACUGGUUGAAUUUCUUGGAGCAGCUAAAUGAUAGUCCUUACUACUGGAGCUCGCUGUCUGUAUUUUCUCUUUGAAAUGGUUUACUUCAGCCAUGUCAUCCCCACAGAGGACAUAGUAGAGGCUGGGUAUCAUGUGACCCAUCCAUGUUUGCUCAUGCAGUCAGUAGCAGCAGAAGAUACAGACUCUUACGUCACAUUCUUCUUCAGCAGCUUCCCCAGCCAGAGACCUUGUGCUUCACUAACCACCACGUCGCUCGCUCUUGGUGCUGGUCACAAGGACCACAUGAAUAUCUGUAAAAUGAGUGACUGAUUUUGCUCUUGGGAGUUCACUGCUCAAGAGUCUCUUCGCUUUCUCUCACCUGAUGAUGUCUGUCCCUGGGACUGACAGACAAAGAAGUUGUGUUGUGUACUUAUCAAAACCGUUAAGUAAUGGUCCAUAGUAUACAAAUAUAUUUUAUAUCACAAAUCCUAUCGUGCACAUAAUAAUAGAGGUAAAAUUUUCCUACAGUAGCAUUUAUUCUUUCUAACUGUGCUAAUGUGCUCUAAUAACAUACUCUCUAAACGAUGCCAGUUUCAGUUUCUAAAUUCAUUUUUAUAAUCUGUCUUCAAGGUCAGAGUAUAUAGUUCAUGUUAGUGAUGUAUGGAUUUAGAACUCUUAGCUCUAAUUGAACAGCAUGUGUUUUCUAGCGAGAUAAGAUGGAUGCUGAGAAUUUACUGAGAGACAACAUGCUGUGGGUGCUGUGGGUGCUGUGAGGGAAGGUCAUACAGCACAUGCUGUGGGUGCUGUGAGGGAAGGUCAUACAGCACAUGCUGUGGGUGCUGUGGGUGCUGUGAGGGAAGGUCAUACAGCACAUGCUGUGGGUGCUGUGAGGGAAGGUCUACACAGCACAUGCUGUGGGUGCUGUGAGGGAAGGUCUACACAGCACAUGCUGUGGGUGCUGUGAGGGAAGGUCAUACAGCACAUGCUGUGGGUGCUGUGGGUGCUGUGAGGGAAGGUCUACACAGCACAUGCUGUGGGUGCUGUGGGUGCUGUGAGGGAAGGUCAUACAGCACAUGCUGUGGGUGCUGUGGGUGCUGUGAGGGAAGGUCUACACAGCACAUGCUGUGGGUGCUGUGAGGGAAGGUCUACACAGCACAUGCUGUGGGUGCUGUGAGGGAAGGUCAUACAGCACAUGCCGUGGGUGCUGUGGGUGCUGUGAGGGAAGGUCAUACAGCACAUGCUGUGGGUGCUGUGAGGGAAGGUCUACACAGCACAUGCUGUGGGUGCUGUGAGGGAAGGUCAUACAGCACAUGCUGUGGGUGCUGUGAGGGAAGGUCUGUAUGGAAUAUGCCUCAGCUUGGGUAGCUCUGACAAAGAACGGACAGGGAGGCUGAGACAGUACAUACUUCCCACAGUUGAAGAGCUUGCUAUAUAGCCCGAGGCCGAGAUGCUGGCAGCUUCAGUUCCUAUUGGCUGACCCUUCCUCUGCUUGCAGAUCACUUCCUUUCCUCUGUGCUUAUGGUAAGGGGCAAGCUCUCUGCUCUCCUCUAUGUGUAACCUCAUUACUAAAGCACAUCACCUUCUUGAAUUCAUGACUUACACCAUCUUAUAUAUUAUUUUUAAAACUAUGAUAUUUAAACAAUGUCCCUAAAAUAUUGAGUUUGGUGUGGUGGAUAUAGUAUUAAGUACCCAAUAAAUAAAUGCAGAUUUAUUACAUCCUAUGGUUGUGAAAUGUGUGCCUUUUCACAGUUUAACAUUUCUGAAAUUAAGGUGCGUUUCACCUACUGGCAUCUGACAGACUGGAUGCCUGAACACUAGUGGUGAAUGCUUGUCAGAGUGUGAGCAGUGUGGUUGAGCACCCGGGGACACUGAUGGAAAACAGGAGUUCAAAAGUGUAGACAACUGAUGUGAGCGCUUUCCUGGAAACUCAGCUUGCUUACUUUUGCUCGUAUUUCCCCUUUCAUCCAUGCGCAAAGAUGAGAUUUCUCUAAGCGAGCUGGAAGAGAUCUUGCAUGUUUAGAAUUAAAAGUAUCAGGAAAGCAUUGCGCCAUAAAUGAAUCGGCAGCCAAUUUCUAUGUAGUAAGGAGAGCCGAGGGGCGGGGGAGGGGUAACUCGUCACUGUCCAAGGUUAUGUU